UACAGAGGGUGCGAGCGUUGUCCGGAAUCACUGGGCGUAAAGGGCGCGUAGGCGGCUUGAUAAGCGUGCGGUGAAAGCCCGGGGCUCAACCCCGGGUCGGCCGUGCGAACUGUCGAGCUGGAGCACUGUAGAGGCAGGUGGAAUUCCGGGUGUAGCGGUGGAAUGCGUAGAGAUCCGGAAGAACACCAGUGGCGAAGGCGACACGCUGGGCCGUACCUGACACUGAUGCGCGACAGCAUGGGGAGCAAACAGG
rnacentral:rRNA from 1 species